UACAGAGGUGGCGAGCGUUGUUCGGAUUUACUGGGCGUAAAGGGUGCGUAGGCGGCACCGUAUGUCGGAUGUGAAAUCCCAUGGCUCAACCAUGGAAUGGCAUCCGAAACUGCGGAGCUAGAGUGCAGGAGAGGAGAGUGGAAUUCUUGGUGUAGCGGUGAAAUGCGCAGAUAUCAAGAGGAACACCGGUGGCGAAGGCGGCUCUCUGGAAUGACACUGACGCUGAGGCACGAAAGCCAGGGUAGCAAAAAGG
rnacentral:rRNA from 1 species